AUGCAAAGCGUGGCUGUUGGAAUAUGAAACUAGCAUUUAAAAAAAGUGUACGUUUAUUUAUAGCAUUAUUUAUAUACACUGAUGUACAAUGUAUAAUCAGUUAACAAACUUUUAACAGUGGUGAAACACGGGAUAGAACAUACAGGAUAAUAUACAGUCAAUGUAAUUGUUUGGACCCAUUACUAACUAGAAUUAAAGAUGUGGAUAAGAUCGUUGAUAUUGGUGAUGAUGUUGGCGUCAGUUUAUACUUUAGACGAAUUAGUUGCUACGGUGUACCAACCCAUAGAUAUGAGCGAGGAUCAGUCAUUAAGUAUCAAGUUGUUACUAGAUCUAUGGUGUAUUUAUCACCAGAUAAAAGGAACAUACCCCAUACCUCGCCACUGUAACUGGUAACCACAAAUGUAUUCACACAACGGAUCGUUCACCACAGAUUGAGACUGCACUUUGUACGCCCUUAAUUAAAGGCCCGAUGCGCCAUUUGCAUUUUCGCUAAAAUAUAGAGUUUCCAACGGAUAAAUAAACGAUAAAUAUGUAAUCAUUAUGAUUAUUUGACAUUUACUUAAGAAAACAAAAUCAAAAUAUCAACGCUAGAUAAAUCUCACCGCUUGGAUUAAACCGGAUUUAAACUAAACCCAGCAUGUUUCUCCACUACCAUGGGAAUAAAAGAUGGCGGAGUCUUGUUACACUCGAGCAGCAUAGAUCGAUGGAAAUACAGUUUAUCAUAACUUUGUAAUGGAAUUCGAUCAUUUCUGGACUGAUAUUCAAAUUAGAGAUUACACGUUCAAAGUGUUGCAAGGAAUUCAUAUAGCGCAUCGAGUCUUUGAUUAGCAAAAACGAACAAUGCGUGGAUCGAUUUUAAAUGUUGUCCAUCAUUUGAUUAUCGUGUUUAACAUUGUUUUUGUUUUAUAGUGUUUAACAUUGUUUUUGUUUUAUAGUACUACAUUUAUUGUCCAUCAUUUAAUUAUCCUAGCUGAAAUUGUAUUUGUUUUAUCGUACUGUAUUUAUUUGUAAAUUAUCUGUAGUUCUUAAAUUUAAAUAUAUUAUUGUCCUCAAGUCAGACUUGAAUUGAUAGAACUUUUAUCAAAUUCCUCUCAUAGCGCACUGGCGUUUGUCCGUCUUUCUUUAGCCCAAUCGGUGCAGAAAGGUAGGACGUCAAACCCCAUUCUAAUUCAAUUUACUAACUAUGUCUGUGUGUCUAUUGGGUUGUUACUACAUGUAAGCUAUAUCCGUGUGUUCUGUCAAGGGGGGGAGAGGGUCUAUUUGGUUGCAUGUUCCUGAAGCAACGAUCGUGAGUUUUACAACAUCUAACCGUUGCUUUAGUACUGGGCAAUUCCCGAACUUUUGCGCUCGUUGUAUUUACACGUGACUGAUUAGCAUUGUCCAAUCAGAGGUCGUCGGACAUAACACACUGUAAACAAAUAUGGCGGUCUCCAUAGAAACUCUUUGUUGAUCAGGUAUGAUUUCCAGAACCUUGACAUUGAUCGAACCUUGAACUUUGCAACUCGAUUGUCACAUGUAGACAUUUUAGCUUGAUACUUGAUAAUGGUAACGAUAUUUUUAACGAAGGAAUCUGAUAGGAUCAAAAGCUGGGCUUGUACCCAAUCGAAAGUAGUGUCAAAUAUGCGGGGUAUUACGUGAAGGGCUUGAUAAGAUGUACGUAGUUAAGGCGAGAUUAAGCCUUCUAUUGAAGACGAUUGGGUUGUUACUACAUGUAAGCUAUAUUCUCCAAUACUAACUAAAAGUUAAUUGAAAACGUUGAUUAUCUGAAGAGCUUAAUAAAAUAAGCGAAAGAGCUAGUAUUCGACAAAUAAUGUAGUUUUUUUUCAAAAACUUUUAUAUUUUUGUGUGUAUAUAUAUAAUAUAUAUAUAUAUAUAUAUAUCUUUCUUUCUGGGAUGUUUUUUGUUUGCGGUCAUCUUUUC